rnacentral:rRNA from 1 species
CAGUCGCCGCGGUAAUACGAAGGGGGCUAGCGUUGCUCGGAAUGACUGGGCGUAAAGGGCGCGUAGGCGGCGAUCAAAGUCAGGCGUGAAAUUCCUGGGCUCAACCUGGGGGCUGCGUUUGAUACUUGAUUGCUAGAGUGGGGAAGAGGGUCGUGGAAUUCCCAGUGUAGAGGUGAAAUUCGUAGAUAUUGGGAAGAACACCGGUGGCGAAGGCGGCGACCUGGUCCUUGACUGACGCUGAGGCGCGAAAGCGUGGGGAGCAAACAGGAUUAGAUACCCCCGUAGUCCCUGUCUCUUAUAA